GCACCUGUAGCACAGUGGAUAGAGCGUCUAUUUCCUAAGUUGAAAGCCAUAGGUUCCACCCCUACCAGUUGUG
rnacentral:tRNA from 1 species